rnacentral:snRNA from 1 species
UGGUGAUAUGCACAUAGCUAUUGAACCAUUGUAAUCCUCUCCUAAAAAUAUCCUCCUAUGUUGUCAUGGUAUGAUGCUUAGAGUACUGUUUAAUUAAUCACAAGUGCUCACUUGAAGAGUACAACCAUCGCCAAUAGAGGAGGACCAGUCUUCGGUCAAGGGUAUAUGAGUAGCUAUACUCUCCUGCUAGAACCUCCAAACAAGCUCUCGUGUUUUCUCUUUCUUAGACUUCUGUUUAGAACGUUAAAAAAACAUCCACAGCUUUCCAGAAGCCUUCAUAUUUGAAAAGACCUACCAAAUAAUAAACUGGCUCUUUGA